UCUGAUUGGACCAAAACCAAUUUCUUUUUAUUUUUUAUUUUAUGAUCGGUCCUCCACCGCCGUUGCCUCCAAUAAGAUCGUAGCUUCCACCGCUUCUUUUUUACUUCUCGAUCCUUCAAUCAAUCACCGCUCACUUGAUCUUCCCUCGCCGCUCCACUGUUUUAACCUCCACCGCCUCAUCUUCUACUAUUGCUUUCAAUUUCAUCUCUCAAAUCGAUCCGUCUUCCACUGCUUCGAAGUCGAUGUUGCCUCCUCUCCUAAAAACCUCCAGCUUGUCGAACCUUUCUCUCCCAUGUCGCACCUCGCACCAUACAAACCGGUGUUCCUCGAAUUCCCAUCUUUUUAGUUAUCAUCGUCAGCGCCUUUGGUAUUGUGUGUUAUGUUCAAGUCGUCUAACAAAGGAGACUGCGCAAGAUUCAAGCUCUCAAUUUUCACAGUUGCUGAUGUGCCCCCCUUUCUAUCAGAAGCGUCAACAUCAACUAAACCCUAGAUCGAUUUGAUACCUAUGCCUAUGCCUGCCUCUUUUUACCAGUGUCGGCCCCGUCCGAGGAAACAACGACAAUACAUAUUGAUUGCAUCCGGGAUGACAGGACCAAGAAAGGUGUAUCGCAUUUUAGUGUGCAUGGAGUAUCGAAAGAUUCAUAUUGCCUGCUUCUUCGUCACUUCUAAUAAGAUAUUGGUUCUAUUUUUCGCUCUGUUUUCCUAAAUACUAGAUGAAGUUCGCUUCUUUUUUUUUAUAUGUUCAACGUUAUGAUUUUGGGAUUCAUAACAGAAAGAUGGAUAAUAAAAAUAAGGUUGCAGGUUUUUAUUGAUGACCGAUUUUUUUUUUUUUUUUGUUUAAGGAUUCAAAGGGAAGUCUCCACUUGGAAAUUUGAAGAUUAAUUCAAAUCAUUACCAAAAACGACAAAAGUUCUGUUAGAUUUCAUUAUAAUUGUUUCGCACUGAACCAAUGGUUAAGAGAGUUUGGCUCAAGAGCAAUUGAAAACAUACAUGGAACAUGAAGUUCUGGAAAAAGAGAUUGGAAGACUGCAUGCAUAAUAAUUGUUAUUGCACGACUUAUAGAAGCAGGUUUUUCUGUUGGGACAGAGAUUUUGUUGACAUUCAAUGGGGGGAACUUCAUUGGCAUUUCGAUAUAAAUGAGAUUUACGAAGUCUUGAAGUUAGUUGUACCAUAAGUCAUGGUAUUUGUGCUUAUGAAAUUCUUAUAUAUUCUUUUAAACACUUUACUACUUAUUUUUUUCCUUAAUCUAGGGGCAAUCGGGCAAUAGGCAAAUGAUUGGUUCCAAACACUUGGUUGUUAUACUAAGGGGGUGUUUGGAUAGGAAAAAAAGAGGUGUUUAUUGCUUAUUCCCAUAAUAAGCUAACUUUGAGUGUUUAAAUAUGCUAAUUUUAAUAAGCAUCUCUCCCCAUGCUUAUUGCUUAUUGCUUAUUCCCACCACAAAUAAGCUAAUAAGCAAUAAGCUAAUAAGCUAAUCCAAACACCCCCUAAGUAAAGAUUUAUAGUGAAAAAGAACAUUGCAAAGUCCAAUUCAAAUGCAGCUUACUACUAGCUACUAUAAAUACAUCCACCUUUCUGGGUAUAACAAUCUAUAGAUGGAUCGAUAUAUAUGAAACUGAAAGCAUUUUUUUGGUCAGCGUCUGGACCAUUUUUUACGUUGGCGCAGUUUUGGUGAAGUUCACUCUUUUGGUAUUAACUCAAGAUCAUUCUGAGUGGAAUAGGUAGAAGUUGAUACUGAGAUAGAUUAUAAGGGGAUGGAAAUAUUACUUACUGGCACAAAAAAUUCUAGCUUCACUUUUGCUAUUACCAGGCA